GAUGAAGAAUGUAGCGAAAUGCGAUAAGUAAUGUGAAUUGCAGAAUUCAGUGAAUCAUCGAAUCUUUGAACGCACCUUGCGCCCUUUGGCCAUUCCGAAGGGCAUGCCUGUUUGAGUAUCAUGAACACCUCAACUCUUCAUGGUUUUCCGUGAUGAGCUUGGACUUUGGGGGUCUUGCUGGCCUAUGGUCAGCUCCUCUAAAAUAAAUCAGCUUGCCAGUGUUUGGUGGGUAUCACAGGUGUGAUAACUAUCUACGCUUGUGGUUUUCCACCAGGUAACCUUCAGCAGUGGAGGUUCGCUGGAGCUCACAGAUGUGUCUCUCCUCAGUGAGGACAGCUCUUUGAAUGUUUGAUCUCAAAUCAGGUAGGACUACCCGCUGAACUUAAGCAUAUCAAUAAGCGGAGGA
rnacentral:misc_RNA from 1 species